AUGGCUCUCUGGCAGAAGCAGAGCGCAGGCAGCACCGGAACAGGGGCGAAACCACUGCAUGCCCCGGGGCUGCCGUGCCUCUGCACAGAUGGCCUCAGCCCCCUCCACGGCCUCAGCCACCAGCCAGGCGCCGCAGCCGCCACCACCGGCCCGCCGCAGCCGCCAGCCUCCCCGCCGGGCCCGGGUAGGCCGGGACUCAGGGCGCUCGCCUUCCUUGCCCCAUUCCUGCUGAGCAGCCGCGGCCCAGCCACCUCCUGCCCCGCAGCUCCUGCUGCCCUCGCCCCCAGCCUGCACCACCCCGCCGGGGCUGUCCGUGGCCCCGCGCCUCAUGGCCCGGCCCCAGGCACACAUGGCUCCCCAUGCCCCCCUGCUGCCCCAGCAGCGGCUGCAGCACCCUCGCCCCAGCGCACCAGAGCCCUGCCACAGACAAGGCCCCGUGGCACAGCCCUGUGCCGGUUCCCCGCACGCCUGGCCUCACCACGCCGCGCCACGCUGUGGGCAGAGCUGCCCCGACACCGCCGCUGCAUGCCCCGGCCGCCGGGCACUGCUCGGGCUCAACAGUUGGCCCGGCCGCCCCACAGGCAGUACGAAAACCCCGCUGCCCUUCUCCCUGCUCACCCCCACAGCAGGAUAGGGCCCGGCCUUGGCCCUUGGUGUGCCCUGGCACUCUGGGGGCAACCCUGUAUCUGCAUCCUCCCUCUCCCAAUUCCCUUUGCUACGGGAUGCAGCUGCCUCCUUGAAUUUAUCUUUAAAAGAAGAAUUCAGCCUUUUCCCUCCUCCUCUGUUGUCGCUUAUUCUGCAGAGCUAACAUCUCCUGCAUUUGGGGGGGAGCAGCCCGCAACAGCACCAUCCCUCGCCUCGCCUCCCGUUGCACAGCCCAGCUCCUGGCCGGCAGACAAAGCACACAGAGACAGCAGGGUCUGCAAAGGCAGGCGGGAGGCAGCCCGGGGCGCAGAGCUGUGCGGGUCCUGGGAAGGGUCAGUCUGGGAGAGAAAGGCGCCUCCUCACGCAGGACCCGCAGCAGAGGAGCGGCAGCGAUACGGGCCGAAGGAGGCACCACAGGCCCGGGGCGAAGGGAAGGCCGGGGGUGCCGCAGCGCAGCCUCGCCGGGUGAAACAGCUGGGGAAGGCGAGACAGGACAUGGAGUUAGGCGCUGUCAGGGACAUGGGGGCAGAAGGGAGGGGAGCAGGGAGGCCCCAAGCAAGGCCCGCCACAGCCCCAGGCUGA
rnacentral:lncRNA from 1 species